AACAACUUAUGUUAGUUCAUUCAUCAGAUUCAAACAACAGACAGUCAGAAAAGCUUAAUAUCAGGGAAGAAGAAAGACAGAGGAGAGGAAAAGAUAUUGCUGAUUAAGGUAUGUUUAGGAAUUAUAUUUUCAUAAUUUGGGUACAAAAACCCUAAAUUAGAUAUAUUUUCUUAUUUUUUUUAUUUAAAUCCGGUACUUUUCUGAUGACUUUUCAGUAGCAUGAUGGGUACCAAUGGAAAGGUCUUGAAAAGAUCUUUCCAAUGGUUUUUGUAGCAUCUUGUUUGGGCUUAUGGUUAGGAAUAUAUGAAUUUUUGAAGUUAAUUAGAAAUCUGGUUUUCAACAGUUUUGACAGCCCGACUUUGGGUCACCGGAACUCCAUAUUUCGGUGACGUUUUUGGUCGUUUCUUUGAGGGCUUUUGAAGUAUGAAAUUAGAUGUUUAAUUUGGCGUCAAUGUCUUGGUUAGAGGCUUCCUGUGUUAAGAGAAUUAAAGCCUCAAAGUAGGCUCAUUGAUACUGGAAACUCAGAAAUCUGGGUAUUUCUGUGAUGAUUUCUUGAAUUUUGGCUUUCGAAACUUAGGAAUCUUGUGGUCUUUUUAAUCGAAACAAAUUUUGGUCUUGUAGUAUGAUAUGCAUACUUUAAAUUGGUGUUGAUUUCAUCACUGGAUAUAAUUCGGGUUAAAAGAUAUGAGAGCUUGAAGUAAGCCAAAUGGCCAUCCAGAUUCUGGAAAUUCCAGAAAACAGAAAAUUUCUUUUUUUAAAUUUGUUUUAAAAAUUGAUUUUAAUUAUUAUGUGAUAAAUUCUAUUGUAAAUUUCAUAAAUAUUGGAUAUGUGAUUUCUACUGUAUUUUUAUGUUAAGAAGUAUGUAUCUUUAUACUUUAUAAAUUUAUUUCUUAAAUUAGUAGAUUUUAUUAAAAUAUCAAAAUUUAUGAAAUUAAUUACAAAUAUGAUUUUUACAAGUGAAAUUAGUAUUAUUUCUCUAUCUGAAAUUUAAAGUCCUUACUGAUUUUAUGAUUUAAGUUUAAUUCUCAACCUUAUUGGAAAUUUUGUUUAAUUCAAAAAUAUAAAUAAUAAUAAUAUAUUACCUUAUUAACAAAAAAAAAAAAUUCAUAAAUUGUAAUAGGAGUCGCUACACACUCUAAGUACUUAGGAUGGUCAACGAAAAGUCGCCUUGUAGAAUCUGUUUGCAAAUUUAGUUCUGAUUUUUGUGUUUCUCGAAAUACUAGGCUACUAAGAGGAUUUUCGGAUUUGCUACUUGAAAGUAAAAUUUACGAGAUCAUGUAAGUGACUGAUAUCCCUUCGGUGUUUUCACACCUUAAAAAUUAGCUUCAAUCUGAAUUUGUACAUGAGAUAUAAUAUUUUGUCCUAUGAUUUAUUAAAAUUGGGUUGAGCAUGCAAAAUGUAUAUGUAUAUAAGUUUAUAUGUUAGAUUUAGAAUGUGGUUUAUGCAAAACGUGAUUUCUGAAUUGGAAAUUUGGAUAUGACUUUGUAUGAUGUAUGCAUAUAUGUUUUCACGAAUAUAAAUAUAAAUAUUUAGUCUGAAACGAAUAUGCUUUUGAGGUGUAUGAGAUAUACUUGAGAAAUUUGAUAUACUGGUUUAUGAACUUUGGGUAAUCUAAAAAUAUAUAUAUUUCUGUUUUGUCUCCUAGCAUGGCUAUGCUCUGACCCUGCCAAUGGGGGUUAAAUGUUGGCCAUGUUGACAUGUAUUCUGUGAUUAGAGAUCGAUCUCCCAACCGCACCACCGGUUACAGAAUAGUGGUAUCUGUGAUAUCUGUUCAGUGCAGCCAAUGGUUGCUUCUUCUGACCCAUGCCACUGGGGUUAAUUGUGGUUCUAUUUCUGACCUAUGCCACAGGGGUUAAGUGUGGUCGUAGCAUGUUACAGGAGACCAUUAAAAGUUAAAUAUGGUGAAUAUAUUUGUUUUGUUAUUUGAAUGCGCAAAUUUUGAAAUAUGUGAUUCCAAAUAAGAUUACCCAAUAUUUUGUCUUGGCAUUUGUAAAUGAUAUUUUGCCCUGAAUGUUUUAAGCAUGCUUAAUCCGGCUGAAGGGAUGUUAGUUACUUGCUGAGUAGUUGGACUCACCCCUUCCUUCAAAUUUUUUUCAAGUUGUGAUUUGGUCAACCACGCGGGAACUUUGGGGAGUGAUGUUUAAUUUAGUAGCACUUAAAUUAUCUAGGAUUUAUUUAAAUAUUAUGAACAUCGUACUAUCUUAAUUAGUAUUCAGACUUUUAUCUUGACUUAGUAGCUUCAUGGUUUUGGAGAUUUAAUUUUGAAUAUUGUCGAAUUAUGAUAUUUGGAAAUUCUGUCAACAGAUAUAGUUUAUAAAUCACUAAAUUUUUCAGGUAUAUCAGUCUCUUUUAGUAAUAGUUUAAGAUAUAUAUUUUAGAGCCUUGCAUGUCUGUAGGAUUAUGCCUUACAGGUAUGCGGCGUCUGUCAUGUCUCGGGUCUGGGGCGUGACAA
rnacentral:lncRNA from 1 species